rnacentral:rRNA from 1 species
ACGAAGGGGGCUAGCGUUGCUCGGAAUCACUGGGCGUAAAGGGCGCGUAGGCGGCGUUUUAAGUCGGGGGUGAAAGCCUGUGGCUCAACCACAGAAUGGCCUUCGAUACUGGGACGCUUGAGUAUGGUAGAGGUUGGUGGAACUGCGAGUGUAGAGGUGAAAUUCGUAGAUAUUCGCAAGAACACCGGUGGCGAAGGCGGCCAACUGGACCAUUACUGACGCUGAGGCGCGAAAGCGUGGGGAGCAAACAG